ACAGGCAGAGGAGACUGGCUGAACAAAGGCUCAGCACUUGAGAAAGCACAGGCUGUUCAGAGGACUGUGAGUGACCCCACGUGACAGAGAGGAGUUGAGACUGUGCUGUUGGGCAGGGUGCCAUGACAAAGGGUUCCAUUUAUCCACAGGAAACAGGAAGUCAGUGAGUACUGUGAUGGCAAUACUCCAUGAGAGGACGGGGCAAUGAGAGACAUUAAGGAGGGUGAGGGGGCAGAACUUUCUGUGUGUUUGUGUGCAGUUACAACCCUGACUCCACGCAUAAGGGCAGGAUGGGCAUAAGGCUGGAAAGUUGGACCAGAACCACCCACCGGAGUGCCUUGAAUGCCGAGCCUGGCAAGGAAGGCAGUGGACAAACACUGUCUGCCUCUCUCGAGGAGAAAACCAUCCCACCACAGAGAAGAAAAGCAAGCGUCCGAGAAGGGGAGCGUCUCAGUCCAUUCGAGCUGCUGUAACAGAGCACCAGAGGCUGGGGCUUCUACGCAGCAGAAGUUUAUUUCUCACCGCUCUGGAGGCUGGAAGUCCAAGAUCAAGGCAUCGGCAGAUUCGGCGUCUGUCUGCUAGUGAACUGGCCCAACCACUGCUCCAAGUAAGGGGCACGUGCUGGGCUCACAACGGAAGACAAGUUCACACUGUCUCCUGAUCCAGGGGUCGAGAGAUGGAAGCUCCUCGGGGUGGGGUCCUCAUCCCACUCGCUCACCUGGCCGACGGCUCGGCAACUUCUUGCUUCUUGCCGCCUGCCUGGCCCCACAGCCUUUCACAGCCACCCUCAAAACAGCUUAGCCCUGCCACUCCCUGAAGCCACCCUCCCAAACCCAGUGCUGUGGAAGACUUCUUGGUCUACAUCCCCCCGUCACUUGCCCUUCCACCUCUCCUUGGUGAAAUCCACUGUCCCCACAGGGCCCACACUCCACUCCCGAACGCUGGCCGCACCUCCUCCCACCUCCCUCAACACAAAGGGAGGGGUCAGGUCACCCUGAGGCCCUGGCCUCACUCCUCAAGCAUCAGUGGACAGCAGAAAUAUGAUGCAAGCCACAAUGCAAACACACAUAUAAUUUAACAUUUUCUAAUAGCCACAUUAAAAGACUAUCAGACAAUUAGUAAAAAAGACAAAAUGAAACAGGUAAAAUCAAUUUUAAUAAUAUAUUUUACUUAGAUUAAUCUAUCCAAAUAUGAUCAUUUCAAUGUGUAAUCACAAUAAAAAAUUAUUGAGAUAUUUUACUUGUUUUGUUGGACUGUCUUUGAAAUUCAGUGUGUAUUUUACACUUAGGGUGCAUCUCUUUUCACUAAAUACUUUCCAAGGGCUCAGUAGCCACAUGUGGCCAGUGGCCACUGCACUGGACAGCACAGAUCGAGAUCAGGGGCUCGCUGACUACGGCCCACAACCCAAAUCUGGCCUGCUGCCUGAUUUUCUAUGACUCAAACAAAGAAUGGUUUUUAUACAGUAUUUUUAAAUGGUUGAAAAAAAUAGUUAUUUCAUGAUACAUAAAUUCUAUGAAAUUCAAAGUUAGUGUCCAUAAGCAAAGUUUUUAAUUCUGUCAAUAAAAAUGUAUGGAACUAGGGGUCUGCCAGAUGGCGUAGUGGUUAAGUCCGCACACUCCACUUCAGCAGUCUCACAGGUUCCGAUCCCGGGCGGGGACCUACACAUCGCUCAUCAAGCCAUGCUGUGGCGGCGUCCCACAUACAAAACAGGAAGAUGGGCACACAUGUUAGCUCAGGGACAAUCUUCCUCAUAAAAAAAAAAAAGGAAGGAACCGUGUUUUAUCUCUUCUUAUAUUACGUACUUACCUUCAUAGUACCCUCAAAUUUGCCUCUUGGACCACACAGCGGAAAAUAUUUACUAUCCAAUCCCGUCUAGGAAGAGUUUGCCCAGCCCUGUCUAGACCAUUCACCUGCUCUCUAAGCUCCAGCACAGGAGCUCCAGAUCUGGCUUUGGAAUCAGGAGGCCCAGCUCAAACCCCAGCUCCCCCAAGUCUCCACUCUGGGAUUUAGAGCAAGUCAUUUCCCUGUUUUGAGCCUCAAUUUUCUUCCUUUGAGAGUUGGGCCAGCACUCAAAUGGGUGUAAAGAGGGUCAUUCGCUUGUUUCUAGUCUCCCAGUCUCAUUCCAGUUUCCAGUCUUCAACCUCCAGCUGCAACACCUGCCCACCCAGCCCCCUCACCUGACUCAGUAUCUCGUCCAGGUGACGCACACCAUCUUCUCCCAGCAUCCUCAGCAGCCUCCACCUUAGAUCACUUUGGCAGCACAAACCUCCAUCUACCUGGAAUGGCCUCUCCACUUCCUCUCGGAAUCCUGUUUCUUCCAAGCUGACACCCCUGCCGCCCCACCAUGCCUUCUGCUCACAGCUCUACCCCUCCCUGGGUCUGACCACAGCACUUCUGCAUGCCCAGUGGGUGACCUGGGCAUGCACACAGCUCCAGUCCCUCCAGGUGAGGACCAAUUCCAGGCUGGGGCCUGGCCUAGCUCUUUACACAUGCAGGAGUCCCCCAGAAUACUUCCAACUGGCCUAGAGAGGCAUGGGCCAGAUUUUCAGGAGCAUUCGUUCCUUCCCACUCAACCCCCAUGAAAGAAUUUCAUCAGUUCUGACACUUGACAUCUUAAUCCUGCCUGCUCCCUGUCUCAGCAGAGCCUCCUCGCAGGCAUACCCCUGCUCAUCUGCCCUAUACUUCCACUAGCUUUUGCCUUUCCAGAACCAGCUCCAGUUGUCCUCUCUCCCUGGCCAAGGUCUGCCUGAUCAGUGAUUGAUGCUGGGCUAGUCGAGGCUCUGGCACCUGGCCCACCCAUUCUCCCUUGACAUGUCCUGUCAGUAACUCCUCUCCUGCUGGGGAAGAGCUCUUUCUAACCUUGACCCUCCCUUCAGCUGCCAGGUCAGAAGGAUUUCCAGCAACGAAGAAUGAUGUCCUAGAAUUGAACUUGUUGCCAGCAAGUACUCUUGUCCCCAAUUAACGUUCCUCCAUUUUGCCAAAAAAGGUGAGAACCAGCCUCCCACUAGUGGGGCUCUGAGCCCUGACCUGGGAUGGGAUCAGCUUCCUCAUGCUGAUGUAGAAGGACUUUCCUUCUACAUUCUGGCCACUUCUCAGUUUCUUUUUUCCCUACAUUUUUAUUGAGAUAUCACUGACAUACCAUAAAAUCCACCCCCUUAAAGUGCACAAUUCAAUGGCUUUAACAUGUUCACAGAGUUGGGCAACAGGCACCACAAUGUAUGUGUAGAACAUUGGCAUCACCAAAAAAGA